rfam:Punica granatum cultivar Dabenzi scaffold171, whole genome shotgun sequence.
UGUGGCAGAUGAUGAACGUUUAUAUCUUAUUGUACACUCAAAUUGAUCAGUGUUGACUACAUACUUCGCUUAUUAUCUGAUAACAUG